rnacentral:rRNA from 1 species
GCUCAAAUUUUGAAAUCUCACUUGGUUUCCAGCGCGAAUUGUAGAUUCAAGAAGCGUUUUGGGGACGACAUUGGGUCAAGUCCUGUUGGAACGCAGCGCCAGAGAGGGUGAGAGCCCCGUCGGCCCGAUGUUCGUGCUAAUGAUACGUUUAAAAGAGUCGCAUAGUUUGGGAAUGCUGUCAAAGUGGGUGGUAAAUAUAUCUAAGCUAAUAUUGGCGAGAGACGAUGCGAACAAGUCCGUGAGGGAAAGAUGAAAAGAACUUUGAAAAGAGAGUUAAAUAGUCGUUGAAAUUGUCAAAAGGGAAACGCUUUGGAACCAGUAUUUGGGCCAUAGAGUUAUCAGCCGCAAGGUGCACUAGUCUUAGGUCCGGGUCAGCAUCAGGUUUGGUUUUGGAGUAAAAAGCCAGUGGAACGGUAAGCUUCGGUGUUAUAGCCGCUGGUCAUGCUCUGGACUGGACUGAGGUCUGCAGCCGCCUGGGGGAAUAUGCCGCCUCGAAACACGCAUUGGUAGACCACUUGUUGAUUACUGCUUUGUGCAGAGCCCGGAUAUGACCACUACCGGCUAGAUGUUACGAAAUGGUUCAAACGACCCGUCUUAAACACGACCAAGAUGUCCAACACUAUGCGAGGGUUUGGGUGGAAACCCGAGCGCGAAUGAAAUGAAAUGCAGGUGAAAUCCUUCGGGUGCAUCAUCGACCGGUCUGAUUCUUUUGAAAGAUCUGGUAAGCGCACCGUUUGUUGGGCCCNAANNUNGGUGNAGCUANNGCCUNAUACGGGUNAAGUCAUGCGNAACUCUCNUGNACGCUCGANGCGGUU